UAGGGAAUCUUCGGCAAUGGGGGCAACCCUGACCGAGCAACGCCGCGUGAGUGAAGAAGGUUUUCGGAUCGUAAAGCUCUGUUGUAAGAGAAGAACGUGUGUGAGAGUGGAAAGUUCACACAGUGACGGUAACUUACCAGAAAGGGACGGCUAACUACGUGCCAGCAGCCGCGGUAAUAAGUAGGUCCCGAGCGUUGUCCGGAUUUAUUGGGCGUAAAGCGAGCGCAGGCGGUUUAAUAAGUCUGAAGUUAAAGGCAGUGGCUUAACCAUUGUUCGCUUUGGAAACUGUUAAACUUGAGUGCAGAAGGGGAGAGUGGAAUUCCAUGUGUAGCGGUGAAAUGCGUAGAUAUAUGGAGGAACACCGGUGGCGAAAGCGGCUCUCUGGUCUGUAACUGACGCUGAGGCUCGAAAGCGUGGGGAGCAAACAGG
rnacentral:rRNA from 1 species